rnacentral:lncRNA from 1 species
CCUGAACAGUUUGUGCUGGAUAUGCUCGAAGAAAGUCCGUGGUGGGAAGAUCGCCGGCUCCUCCUCGGAGACAGUUUCCGGUAGCGGCUUAAGGAUGAUCUUCUCCUUGGGCGGCUCACAGAAAACCGCCCACGAGAUCCUCACCUUCUCCUUGUUGACGAGCCCCCUGUGAAGAAUGCUCUUGUACUUGCCGUUGCUUAGAAUCUCUAAGGUGUCGCCUAUGUGCAUGACGAUGGAGUUGGGUACGCACUUCGCUGUCACCCAUUUGCCGCCGUAGAAGAGCUGCAGGCCGGGAACCAUGUUGUGGAGGAUGAAGGUGAGUGCACUUAUGUCUGUAUGAGCUUCCACGCCGAGUGCAAGUUCCGGCUGAGGGCAUUUUGGGUAGUAGUUGAUCUUCAUUUGCAGGAGGAGUUCUUCGAGUCCACCGACCUCCUUCUCCAGCCUCCCUUCUUCUAAUCCCAAGCCAAGUGAGAGUAUGCUCAGUAUCUUGGUUGUUAACCCCCUCAGUUCCUUAGCAUACUCACUUGUUGCCACACUACACGUUUAUGUGAAUAUGACGCCAGUUAGGAAAACGUAUAAAUAAAUGAUAAUGCUAAAUGAACUACCUUUUAGAGAACCAGAGCUAGCAGUGGGUUUGUUACACUUACAUAUAGUCGGAAGGUGUUUGAGGCCAAAUGGACAAGUCACGCUUGUCCUCAGGAUAAACACAGUGGAAAAAGUAG